rnacentral:rRNA from 1 species
CCUACGGGUGGCAGCAGUGAGGAAUAUUGGUCAAUGGACGAGAGUCUGAACCAGCCACGUAGCGUGAACGAUGACUGCCCUAUGGGUUGUAAACUCUUUUUAUAAAGGAAUAAAACGAGGCACGUGCGCCUUUUUGCAUGUACUUUAUGAAUAAGGCUCGGCUAACUCCGAGCCAGCAGCCGCGGUAAUACGGAGGAUCCGAGCGUUAUCCGGAUUGAUUGGGUUUAAAGGGAGCGUAGAUGGGUUGUUAAGUCAGUUGUGAAAGUUUGCGGCUCAACCGUAAAAUUGCAAUUGAUACUGGCAGUCUUGAGUGCAGUAGAGGUAGGCGGAAUUCGUGGUGUAGCGGUGAAAUGCUUAGAUAUCGCGAAGAACCCCGAUUGCGAAGGCAGCUUACUAAACUGUGACUGACAUUGAUGCUCGAAAGUGUGGGUAUCAAACAGGAUUAGAUACCCGGGUAGUC